CAGCCGGGUAAUUCCAGCUCCAAUAGCGUAUAUUAAAGUUGCUGCAGUUAAAAAGCUCGUAGUUGAAUUUCGGGACCAUCAUGUCGGUCGUGCCUCGGUACGUACUGGCAUUGUUGGUUUCUCCCUUCUGACGAACCAUGAUGUCAUUUAUUUGGUGUUGUGGGAAAUCAGGACUGUUACUUUGAAAAAAUUAGAGUGUUUAAAGCAGGCUCACGCUUGAAUACAUUAGCAUGGAAUAAUGAAAUAGGACGUUUGAUUCUAUUUUGUUGGUUUCUAGGAUCGACGUAAUGAUUAAUAGGGAUAGUUGGGGGCAUUAGUAUUCAAUUGUCAGAGGUGAAAUUCUUGGAUUUAUUGAAGACUAACUACUGCGAAAGCAUUUGCCAAGGAUGUUUUCAUUAAUCAAGAACGAAAGUUAGGGGAUCGAAGACGAUCAGAUACCGUCGUAGUCUUAACCAUAAACUAUGCCGACUAGGGAUCGGAUGAUGUUAAUUUUUUAAUGACUCAUUCGGCGCCUUACG
rnacentral:misc_RNA from 1 species